GACGAACGCUGGCGGCGUGCUUAACACAUGCAAGUCGAACGAAGUGGCGAACGGGUGAGUAACGCGUAAUAAACCUGCCCUUCAGAGGGGGACAACAGUUGGAAACGACGGCUAAUACCGCAUACUGAAGGAGGGGAUUGCGUCUGAUGAGCUAGUUGGAGGGGUAACGGCCCACCAAGGCGAUGAUCAGUAGCCGGUCUGGGAGGGUGAACGACCACAUUGGGACAGGGACACGGCCCGGACUCCUACGGGAGGCAGCAGUGGGGAAUAUUGGACAAUGGACCAGAGUCUGAUCCAGCAAUUCUGUGUGCACGAUGAAGUUUUUCGGAAUGUAAAGUGCUUUCAGUUGGGCAGCGGUACCAACAGAAGAAGUGACGGCUAACUACGUGCCAGCAGCCGCGGUAAUUC
rnacentral:rRNA from 1 species